UACGAAGGGGGCUAGCGUUGUUCGGAAUCACUGGGCGUAAAGCGCAUGUAGGCGGCGAUUCAAGUCGGGGGUGAAAUCCCAGGGCUCAACCCUGGAACUGCCUUCGAUACUGUUUUGCUAGAGUGUGGAAGAGGUUGGUGGAACUGCGAGUGUAGAGGUGAAAUUCGUAGAUAUUCGCAAGAACACCAGUGGCGAAGGCGGCCAACUGGUCCAUUACUGACGCUGAGAUGCGAAAGCGUGGGGAGCAAACAGG
rnacentral:rRNA from 1 species